GACGAACGCUGGCGGCGUGCUUAACACAUGCAAGUCGAACGGAAAGGCCCUGCUUUUGUGGGGUGCUCGAGUGGCGAACGGGUGAGUAACACGUGAGUAACCUGCCCUUGACUUUGGGAUAACUUCAGGAAACUGGGGCUAAUACCGGAUAGGAGCUCCUGCUGCAUGGUGGGGGUUGGAAAGUUUCGGCGGUUGGGGAUGGACUCGCGGCUUAUCAGCUUGUUGGUGGGGUAGUGGCUUACCAAGGCUUUGACGGGUAGCCGGCCUGAGAGGGUGACCGGCCACAUUGGGACUGAGAUACGGCCCAGACUCCUACGGGAGGCAGCAGUGGGGAAUAUUGCACAAUGGGCGGAAGCCUGAUGCAGCAACGCCGCGUGCGGGAUGACGGCCUUCGAGUUGUAAACCGCUUUCGCCUGUGACGAAGCGUGAGUGACGGUAAUGGGUAAGGAAGCACCGGCUAACUACGUG
rnacentral:rRNA from 1 species